AACGAACGCUGGCGGCAGGCCUAACACAUGCAAGUCGAACGAAGUAGCAAUACUUAGUGGCGCACGGGUGCGUAACGCGUGGGAAUCUGCCCUUAGGUACGGAAUAACUCGGGGAAACUCGUGCUAAUACCGUAUGAUGACGAAAGUCCAAAGAUUUAUCGCCUAGGGAUGAGCCCGCGUUGGAUUAGCUAGUUGGUGGG
rnacentral:rRNA from 1 species